rnacentral:rRNA from 1 species
GAUGAACGCUAGCGGCAGGCCUAAUACAUGCAAGCCGAGGGGCAGCAUCAGCUUCGGCUGGAUGGCGACCGGCGCACGGGUGAGUAACGCGUACAUAACCUGCCCGGAACUGGGGGAUAAGCGUUGGAAACGGCGUCUAAGACCCCAUGGUUCCGAGAGGGGGCAUCCCCUUUCGGAUAAAGGUUACGGUUCCGGAUGGAUGUGCGUUGGAUUAGCUUGAUGGUGGGGUAACGGCCCACCAUGGCGACGAUCCAUAGGGGGCGUGAGAGCGUGGUCCCCCACACGGGUACUGAGACACGGACCCGACUCCUACGGGAGGCAGCAGUAAGGAAUAUUGGGCAAUGGAUGAGAGUCUGACCCAGCCAUGCCGCGUGCGGGAUGAAGGCCCUCUGGGUCGUAAACCGCUUUUAUACGGGAAGAAAAAGUCCCACUUGUGGGAUCGUGACGGUACCGUACGAAUAAGCACCGGCUAACUCCG